UACAGAGGUCUCAAGCGUUGUUCGGAUUCAUUGGGCGUAAAGGGUGUGUAGGUGGCGCGCUAAGUCGGGUGUGAAAUUCCGGAGCUUAACUCUGAAACUGCAUUCGAUACUGGCGUGCUUGAGGACUGGAGAGGAGACUGGAAUUCAUGGUGUAGCAGUGAAAUGCGUAGAGAUCAUGAGGAAGACCAGUGGCGAAGGCGGGUCUCUGGACAGUUCCUGACACUGAGACACGAAGGCCAGGGGAGCAAACGGG
rnacentral:rRNA from 1 species